CCUCAUUGAAUCUGGGUAAUUCAGCUGCCACUCUCAGCCUCAAAGCUCUUGUUCUAGAAGCACUUUUAAUAUUUGCCAAACUGCUGGCUAAAUCUCUCUAUAUACACACUAUCAGAUUUGACAGAUGAUUUAGAGUUUCAGAUUCCAGCAUGAGUAACUCUUGAUUUAGGAUGCAAAAUCAGGAAAGAAUAGAUCACAUUAGAUUUAAUCUAGGAUUUAAUCUAGGACAGAUGUAACGAAAUUGAACCCUAUUGAAAUUCUGGGCAUUCUUUCAAAUCCCCGUAUCUCAGCAGUGUGUUGUUCAAAACUAAGAACUGUUUUUGCUCUAUUUGGAAGCAGGUAAUAUCACACUGAGAAGUACUGCUGUGAUGGUACACAAGGAGUGAGAUCAAAACCCUUCUAAAGGAUAAAAAGGAGUUAAAAUAAUAACUAUCUUACACUAUUAAGGUGGUCUAAUAAGCGUGUGCAUAGUCUUAAUUUGCAUUCAUAUUAUUACUGAGAAUAACUGGUUGCUGGAUCAUAUAAGGAACUAAGUUUUUCCAUUAUGACAAAGCUCCUGCCAGAAACAGAACUCUGGAGUUCUUUCUGAAUGACAAAAAAAAAAAGUGAGGGGUUGGAAAAAAAAAAAAAAAAAGAGCAGAACUCUGGAGUUUUUCUGAAUGACAAAAAAAAGGUGAGGGGUUGGAAAAAAAAAAAAAAGAAGGGAUUACAGUUAAAGAAAUCCUUCUUUUUCCUUGUAGCUGACAAGAGUAAUCCGUGUGUUUCUGUAAUAGCUGUACUUGCUUUUGCAGGAUUGCUGGGUGGAAGAUCACCUCCUGAAAGCAUCACACAAAACCACACCACAGCAAAAUCAAGGUCUGGAUUACCUGCAAAUCAGUGUCCCCAUAAAAAGAGCACAGCCAAACUUUGAAGUCUCAUCCAGAGAAGCUAUACACAAGAAAUGUGAUGCAGCCAGGGGUGGCAAACCACCCUGCCCUGUGUGAUGGGACUGUGAGCGUCAGGGUGCCCCUGGCCAGCACAGCCCCGCUUCUGCCAAGGGAUGCCUAAGGCAGCCCCUCAACAGCAACCGCUGCUGCCACCUUCAGCUGCAGCCCCACCCCAUCAGGAGGAGAAGCCAGCUCCAUUCUCCACAGCCCUCCUGUGGAACUUCAUCUUGGCCCUGCCAUUUCAUCACAAAAUCCCUCCGAGCAGGAGGGAGGAAACAGCGAGCGGGGGAGAAAGAGGUGCGAGCAAAAAGAUGGGGAAAUGAAGAGAGCACCCCCUAAACCUCACAUCCCUUCCCCAAACCAGGCUGACCCCUCCUCAUCACCUUCCAUACUACCUAUUUUUUUACACUUUUGACUUAUUACCUCUGCUAAUCCUGCUGUAAUCCCCUACCUCUGUUCCCUGCUCCUGCAGUAUCCAGCCAUCCUUCCCUCGCCCCAUUCCUGCAUCCAGCUGGGAUGCUGCUGAGCCCUCCCUGCCUUCCCUCCCCCCAGCCAGCAGCCCCCUCCCCACCCACCCUCAGGACACCAACCCAGGGCUGCUGACCCCGCUGAAAUGCUUUAUGCUGACUCUGGCCUCAUCCUCUCUAGACUUCUUCUUUAAAAAUUAAAUAACUAUAUGUAUUUCUUUAGCUUUAAGUCUCUUUAGGUCGAAGAAGAGCUUCGGAAGGCAAUGCAUUUUUAAUGAAGGGUGGAAAACUGACAAACCAUUUUUAGAUACAGCUGUAAUAAAUAUUUUUUCUCUAUCUUUUUAAGGUUGGUU
rnacentral:lncRNA from 1 species